rnacentral:rRNA from 1 species
GUGGGGAAUAUUGGACAAUGGGCGCAAGCCUGAUCCAGCCAUGCCGCGUGUGUGAAGAAGGCCUUCGGGUUGUAAAGCCCUUUUGUACGGGAAGAAAUCAUUAGGGUUAAUACCCUGGGUGGAUGACGGUACCGUAAGAAUAAGCACCGGCUAACUUCGUGCCAGCAGCCGCGGUAAUACGAAGGGUGCAAGCGUUAAUCGGAAUUACUGGGCGUAAAGCGUGCGUAGGUGGUUGUUCAAGUCUGUCGUGAAAGCCCUGGGCUCAACCUGGGAAUGGCGAUGGAAACUGGGCGACUAGAGUGCGGUAGAGGAUGGCGGAAUUCCCGGUGUAGCGGUGAAAUGCGUAGAGAUCGGGAGGAACAUCCGUGGCGAAGGCGGCCAUCUGGACCAGCACUGACACUGAGGCACGAAAGCGUGGGGAGCAAACAGGAUUAGAAACCCCAGUAGUCC